rnacentral:lncRNA from 1 species
AGGGACAGGCAGGGAGAGGCACGCAGAUACAGCUAUGUGCCAUUGAUGCCCAUCAGCGAGAGGCGCCAUCUCUCUCCAAAAGAACACAGAGCUCAACUUCCAGAAACAUAAUAAACACAAGUGCUUCCCAUCAAGAGGCACCAGGAGCAACCUUCUCAAGGAUAAGAUGCUAUCUUCACUCUCACAGUUUUAAUCAUCUAGUACUGAUGCAACUCUGGACUGUCCUGAUCACUCUGGAUGCAGGUUUUUUCUUUCUUUUUUUGAUAUUUGUCCUUAUUUUUCUUUUUUUGGAAAGGAAAGAUUUAGUGGGUUUAAAAAUAAUGUAAAAUCCAAAAAGAAAACAAUGCAUGGCUUGCAUAAAAAAUGUGGAAGAUAAAGUUGAGGAAAAUCUCAGAAAAUAGAGCAAAAAGAAAGAGAACAGGAGAAAGUACAAAAACAUUAGAGUAGCAUCUAAGAAGUUCAAUUUCCAAAGAGCGAACAUUCUAGAAAGAAAGAAAAGAGGAAAUGGAAGAAAGCCAUCAAAAAAUAAUUCAGGACAAUUCCCAGAAUUAAGGAUGUAGCUUUCCCGACUCAAAGGCUACUGAGUGUCCAGGACAAAAGAUGAAAAUAGACAUGUGUCAACACAAAUCAUUGUAAAUUUUCAGAAUACUGGGGAUAACAAAAAUCAUAUAAACUUCUAGAGAGAAAACAAUAAAAACGCCUUCACAAUCCAGCCCUGCACACCCCUUCGUUGUCACCUCCCCUCAGUACAAUACAGCCCAGCCCCCUUUCACCCAACUCCCCUCAAAUGUAAUUCAGACUAUGGAGGUUGCAGAUGCGGCUUGGAUUCCGUGUUGCUGUGGCUCUGGCGUAGGCAGGUGGCUACAGCUCUGAUUAGAUCCCUAGCCUGGGAAACUCCAUUUGCCACAAGAGAGGCCCUAGAAAAGGCAAAAAGACAAAAAAAAAAAAGUGUUCAAUAUAUGUCUAAGCAAACAAUUCACAAAAUGGACCUCUGGGUUCUUCAAACUAAUAAGUUUGUACUUCAGGUUCAAUUGAUUCAGUAAACACUUUUUUUAACUCAAUACAUUUUAUUGCAUUUAUGGUUGUACAAUGAAAUGCAGUAAAUACUUUUUGAACACCUACUUUAUUGCAGACCCUUUUCUGGCGUUGGGGAUACAGCACUAAAAGACAGAGGAGGUCCAUGACCUCUUGCAGCUUAUAUUCUAAUGGGAGAGUCAGAUAACACACAAAACAAGGUAGAGUGAUGGGGUGCACUGGGUGGGAUUGGUUGAAGCCUGUGAGAACAGGAUUAGAUGGUGAGGGAGACUCUGGGGAGAUACAUUUCUCUUGAGACCUGAGUCAGGAGAAGGACCCAGCUGCACCAAGAGCAGGGAAGACCAGGCAGAAAAAAGAGUGAAAGCGAAGGGUCUAAAGUAGAAACAAGGCGGAGUGCUCGACGAACAAAAAGAAUGCAAACUAGUCAGAACCAUAAUUACAAAUAAGGAAGAAAUCAUGAGACUGGAGAGGUAAGAAGGGGCCAUAUCAUGUAAGGGCUGGAUAACCAAGUGAGGACUAUUGAUUUCUCUUCCGCAUAUGGAGAAAUAGUUUUCUAGGAAAUUCUCAGUAAGAUUGUCUCUUUCAUGUCAUUUCCCGUUCUACUGUAUUCAUGUACCUUCCACUUCUAAGAAACAAGGCAAUGAAAUGAAAAUGUCUUUUUCAUAUUUUAAUUCAAUCAUAUGGUUACCUAGCACAGAAGGAAGAUUUCUCUUUCUUUUUGCUUUUUAGGACUGCACCCAUGGCAUAUUGAAGUUCCCAGGCUAGGGGUCCAAUCAGAGCUACGGUUGUUGGCCUAUGCCACAGCCAUAGCAAUGCGGGAUCCAAGCCAUGUCUGCGACCUACACCACAGCACAGGCAACACCAGAUCCCCAAUCCACUGAGCAAUGCUGGGGAUUGAACCUGCAUCCUCAUGGUUACUAAUCAGAUUUGUUUCCACUGCAUCAUGACGGGAACUCCAAGUUUCUUAUUUUAAAUGAGGAUGCAGUUCUCUCACUCAUGGGAAAAGAAACUCUUGGAAAAAGGAAUCAAGGAAGGUCAUUAUCAGGUCUAAAUAUUUUCCCCAUUCUUUUGCUACUCUGAAUAAGUGGAUCUUGAAGGAAUAUGAUUGCUUAGGGAUCCACCACACUGACUGAACAAGCCAGAGCUGGAAUUACAGGCUUAGAGUGAAACUUUGUCCAUUCAAGCUAGUUUGUGUUGCAACAGCUGCAGUUUUUCACGAAACACUUAAAUUUUCAUGCUCUUCCCUCCCAUUUUGAUGUAUACAUGCAGGAGCUUCUCCUUAUCUUUUGCUCUUUCUUAAUCUUAUCACUGAUGCCUCUACUUAGUCCAGGUGAGCAUUAUCCAUCAACAUAGGCUCGGGCUUCUCCUAAGGUCACUUCGUUAGGUUUUGCCAGUCAACAUAAGACAAGCAUUCACAUCAAUUCAAAGGAUCCAUAAAGCCGAAAGUCAGAGGGGAGUAUUUUUAAUUAGGGCAAGAGUAAUAGUACAAUUGAGACAAAACUAUUUCAUUCAAGACUUUAAGGGACCCAUUUUCCAGUGUCAUUUCUGCUGUAAUGUACAAGUGCCCCAUAAUGCAGGAAUUAAAAAAUUGCCAAAAGGAAUGAAGCCAAUAGCACACCAGCGCCACAGGUAGAGUGCUCUGCAGUAACAUGCACCUGCCAUUGGCCCAGCCUCGUUGAUGGAAUCCUCCACCUAAAUGUAAUUCAUUUUAAAUACUUAGUUUUGUUUCUUCUAUUAUAAAACUACUUAAGUCCAUAAAAUUGAGGUGCUUUAAAAAUGGUGAAAUCUUUAUUUAAAACACCAAAAUGCUGUGUAUAUCUAUACAUUGCAUUAAGAGAGUCUCGGUGUUGAGAACAAUUAUAUCACCGUGUGAUUGUCUUCUCAAGUCAGCACGUAUACAGAUUGCAUGCUGAAAUCUUGACUUCACAAUUGCUCUCUCCGCCACAUUACAUCGGUCAACAAUCCUCGCUAGUUCUACCUCCAAAUCUCUCAUCAAAACCAAGCCCUCCACCUCCACCUCCACUGUCUUAAUUCAGGCUCAGACACAUACAAACUAUUCUAAUAGCCUCCAGUCGAAUACACCUACUGCUUCUCCCUGAUCAGCGUCAAAUGUCACCUCCUCUGUGAAGAUUCCCCACUCCAGGGUGUAAUUCAGUAACUCCAACUCGCUUUGCCCCAGCGGCAAUUAGUACACACCACUCUUACAACACUGAUUAGCCUCUGCUGCAGUGCCAUCAAAUAAAAACAUGUAAGUCACAUGUGUAAUUUUAAAUGUUCUAGUAGCCUCAUUAAAAAGGUAAAGAGAAAUUAGUAAUUUUCAAUAAUAUAUUUUAUUUAACCAGUAUAUAUAAAAUAUUAUCAUCUCAACAUGUAAUCAAUACAAAAAAUAAAACAAGAUAUUUCAUAAUUUUUAUAUUUUUUCAAAAGCCAAUGUAUAUUUUAUCUUUAUAGCAUAUUUUAGACACCAAAUUGUCAUGAAAAAUAAUUGAUCUAUAUUUAGAUGUCAUAAAAUUUACAAUUGAAAAGUAAUUGAUCUAUAUUUAGAUGUCAUAAAAUUUAGAACUGAAAGGAAAGUAGAUUCACUUACACAAGUUGUUCCAAAUAGACCUGAGAGUUUUAUGAUAACUACAUAUGAACUGUUAUAUUUUAAGUUAAAAUCAAAUUAACACUUAAAAAUCAGUUGGGAAAGUUGGAUAGUUGCAUGUAAAUCAAUAAAGUUAGAAUACACCCUCAUACCAUAUACAAAAAUAAACUCAAAAUGCCUUAAAGACUUAAACAUAAGACAUGACACCAUAAACUCCUAGAUCAUAGACAAAAUAUUCUCUGACACAAACUGUACCAAUGUUUUAAAUGGGACCUAAUCAAACUUACAAGCUUUUGCACAGCAAAGGAAACCAUAAACAAAACAAAAAGACAAACUGCAGAAAUGGAGAAAAUAUUUGCAAAUGAUGUCACCAACAAGGGAUUAAUUUCCAAAAUAUUCAAACAGCUCAUACACCUCAGUAGCAAAAACAAAAAACAAAAAACCAACCCAAUGGAAAAGUGGGCCAAAGAUCUAAACAGACAUUUCUCCAAAGCAGACAUACCUAUGGCCAGCAGGCACAGGAAAAGAUACUCAGUGUUGAUAAUUAUUGGAGAAAUGCAAAACUACUGCCUUUGGAAUGGAUUAGCAAUGAGAUCCUGCUGUGUAGCACUGGGAACUAUGUCUAAUCACUUAUGAUGGAGCAUGAUAAUGUGAGAAAAUAGAAUGUGUACAAGUAUGUGUAACUGGGUCACCAUGCUGUACAGUAGAAAAAAAUUGUAUUGGGGAAAUAACCAUUGAAAAAA